CAGUUUGCAUUUUCCUUUUAAUAUUGAUGGAUUUUUGGCCUCGUUUUGGUUUUUGCUAUGGCAUUUUGGACGUUAGCACAUUGAACAAUAAGAACGAACUGAUUACAACUCGGUAAACCACACAGAGACAUACUUUUGCGUUGUGCUUACUAGAUACCCAUUAAGAUAAAGUAAAUCGUAUUUGAGCACGAUGCAAAGAGUUUGCACUUUUUGUUCGCGUUAACCGAGUGAUUUUAUAUGAGAAUUAUAACUUGGGGCCGAAAAAGUUGUUCGAGUUUCGUAUUAACCGAAUUUCGUGUAAACCGAAUUAAGUUGCAUUCGUUUUAUAAGUGGACUGUUUGGGACUUCGCUUCCAGUUCGUAAUAACGAGGUGUUUGUCUUAACCGAGUUCGAAGUAACGAGGGUUUACUGUAGUUCCAUACUUUUUACCGACUCCGUAUUUGAAAUGUAUGACGCCAAUACGGCGAUGGCGUGACUGUAAUAAAAAUCAAGAGAACUAUCAAUUUUUUGUAAGUGAAAAGUAAGUACAACCACACAAAAGGGGUACGGUGAUAAAUUUUGUAGCAGAAUUUCGAGAUUCUUUGAAAUUGUUUUUCAGGCAAUAUUUAUAGUUUCCUUAUAUCCUUCACAUACGAUGGUUUUUCAAGGCAUCUCUGUCUUUGCUAUGGCAAUUGUCAGCAUUGGAGUAAUGGUCUAUCUUUUUUAUAAAAAUAGGGAAGUCGAUUUUUAUGAUUAUACUACUUCUCGUUGCGGUACUCUUCAUGCAUUGCAACAAAGAUCUACAGGGAGUGAAGCGCCUAGUUGUUUAGGCAUGAGAAAGCGAAAUAUGUCAAGUACUGAAGUUUGUUCCAUUUGUAUGGAAGUAUUAGGGGAUCCAGAUGUAUCAGAAUUUUCUACUCCGAUCGUAUCACUUCCUUGUGAGCAUCUAUUUCACACUGCAUGUGUUAAUGCAUGGUUAAUCACCCACAGAACUUGCCCUAAUUGUCGAUCACCUACGUCGUUAAUUUAGAAGAAUGUAAUUAAACGUUGCAUGCUAUGACUUUAUUAAUCUCAAUAAAAUAACCCUUUGUUUUUA